rnacentral:rRNA from 1 species
AGAGUUUGAUCCUGGCUCAGGAUGAACGCUAGCUACAGGCUUAACACAUGCAAGUCGAGGGGCAGCAUCAUCAAAGCUUGCUUUGAUGGAUGGCGACCGGCGCACGGGUGAGUAACACGUAUCCAACCUGCCGACAACACUGGGAUAGCCUUUCGAAAGAAAGAUUAAUACCGGAUGGUAUAGUUUUCCCGCAUGGGAUAAUUAUUAAAGAAUUUCGGUUGUCGAUGGGGAUGCGUUCCAUUAGGCAGUUGGCGGGGUAACGGCCCACCAAACCUACGAUGGAUAGGGGUUCUGAGAGGAAGGUCCCCCACAUUGGAACUGAGACACGGUCCAAACUCCUACGGGAGGCAGCAGUGAGGAAUAUUGGUCAAUGGACGAGAGUCUGAACCAGCCAAGUAGCGUGAAGGAUGACUGCCCUAUGGGUUGUAAACUUCUUUUAUACGGGAAUAAAGUGAGCCACGUGUGGCUUUUUGUAUGUACCGUAUGAAUAAGGAUCGGCUAACUCCGUGCCAGCAGCCGCGGUAAUACGGAGGAUCCGAGCGUUAUCCGGAUUUAUUGGGUUUAAAGGGAGCGUAGGCGGGUUGUUAAGUCAGUUGUGAAAGUUUGCGGCUCAACCGUAAAAUUGCAGUUGAUACUGGCGACCUUGAGUGCAACAGAGGUAGGCGGAAUUCGUGGUGUAGCGGUGAAAUGCUUAGAUAUCACGAAGAACUCCGAUUGCGAAGGCAGCUUACUGGAUUGUAACUGACGCUGAUGCUCGAAAGUGUGGGUAUCAAACAGGAUUAGAUACCCUGGUAGUCCACACAGUAAACGAUGAAUACUCGCUGUUGGCGAUAUACAGUCAGCGGCCAAGCGAAAGCAUUAAGUAUUCCACCUGGGGAGUACGCCGGCAACGGUGAAACUCAAAGGAAUUGACGGGGGCCCG